rnacentral:rRNA from 1 species
GAUGAACGCUGGCGGCGUGCUUAACACAUGCAAGUCGAACGAUGAAGCCCAGCUUGCUGGGUGGAUUAGUGGCGAACGGGUGAGUAACACGUGAGUAACCUGCCCUUAACUCUGGGAUAAGCCUGGGAAACUGGGUCUAAUACCGGAUAGGAGCGCCUACCGCAGGGGGGGUGUUGGAAAGAUUUAUCGAUUUUGGAUGGUCUCCCGGCCUAUCAGCUUGUUGGUGAAGGAAUGGCUCACCAAGGCGACGACGGGUAGCCGGCCUGAGAGGGUGACCGGCCACACUGGAACUGAGACACGGCCCAGACUCCUACGGGAGGCAGCAGUGGGGAAUAUUGCACAAUGGGCGAAAGCCUGAUGCAGCGACGCCGCGUGAGGGAUGACGGCCUUCGGGUUGUAAACCUCUUUCAGUAGGGAAGAAGCGAAAGUGACGGUACCUGCAGAAGAAGCACCGGCUAACUACGUG